AGUUUGAUCCUGGCUCAGGACGAACGCUGGUGGCGUGCCUAAUACAUGCAAGUAGAACGCUGAAGAGAGGAGCUUGCUCUUCUUGGAUGAGUUGCGAACGGGUGAGUAACGCGUAGGUAACCUGCCUUGUAGCGGGGGAUAACUAUUGGAAACGAUAGCUAAUACCGCAUAACAAUGGGUGACACAUGUCAUUUAUUUGAAAGGGGCAAUUGCUCCACUACAAGAUGGACCUGCGUUGUAUUAGCUAGUAGGUGAGGUAACGGCUCACCUAGGCGACGAUACAUAGCCGACCUGAGAGGGUGAUCGGCCACACUGGGACUGAGACACGGCCCAGACUCCUACGGGAGGCAGCAGUAGGGAACCUUCGGCAAUGGGGGCAACCCUGACCGAGCAACGCCGCGUGAGUGAAGAAGGUUUUCGGAUCGUAAAGCUCUGUUGUAAGUCAAGAACGAGUGUGAGAGUGGAAAGUUCACACUGUGACGGUAGCUUACCAGAAAGGGACGGCUAACUACGUGCCAGCAGCCGCGGUAAUACGUAGGUCCCGAGCGUUGUCCGGAUUUAUUGGGCGUAAAGCGAGCGCAGGCGGUUUGAUAAGUCUGAAGUUAAAGGCUGUGGCUCAACCAUAGUUCGCUUUGGAAACUGUCAAACUUGAGUGCAGAAAGGGAGAGUGGAAUUCCAUGUGUAGCGGUGAAAUGC
rnacentral:rRNA from 1 species